rnacentral:rRNA from 1 species
UACGAAGGGGACUAGCGUUGUUCGGAAUUACUGGGCGUAAAGCGCACGUAGGCGGCUUUGCAAGUCGGGUGUGAAAUCCCCAGGCUCAACCUGGGAACUGCAUUCGAGACUGCAUUGCUAGAGUAUGGGAGAGGGAAGUGGAAUUUCCGGUGUAGCGGUGAAAUGCGUAGAUAUCGGAAGGAACAUCAGUGGCGAAAGCGACUUCCUGGACCAAUACUGACGCUCAUGUGCGAAAGCGUGGGGAGCAAACAGG